GUCUUGUGUUGGUUGUAUACAUUGUACAUGUCAUUCCAAAUGUUGGUUUUCUGCCCUCUAAUCAGCUGGGCAAUUUGCGCAAUUGUUUCUGCAUACAUGUAGUUGGUAUUGGUAAUCUUUUCUACUCUAGCUCAGUCAAUAUAGUACACUGGAUAUGUAGGAUGGCUUGUUUCGAAGCUAAGCCAUUUUCACAUAUAUGUGG
rnacentral:lncRNA from 1 species